rnacentral:lncRNA from 1 species
UAAAAUAGAUUUUUUAAAAUAAGAAUUCGACCACUAAAGACAAGCUUGAGCAAAAACCCGUUUAAGAUAUAGAAAAAGAAACUGAGGUUUGGAAAAGCAAAUUGACCCAGGGUUGUACAUUGUUUUUUGUUUGUAUAACUAGUAAAUUAGUAUGGUUAGAAACAUGAAUAGAGGAUAAUGUUUUGGGCAAAUAAAACUCACGCAAAUUAGUGUGCAGCACACUUUACCAACAAGCAAAAUCAUGACUAUAUUGCAUCUUGUUAGCUACAAAAAUUAUGCAAUUUAUAACAUUGACUCAAAUUCAGAUUACUUUUACACAUUAUGCAGAGAAAUCAUAAUCACUAAGACAUCACUGUUGUUUUUAAGGAUCUCAAACAGAAAUAGGAGAGGCGGGUUUUUGCAUUAAUGGUCCCAAAUCUCAAUCUCUGUAUCCACUAGGAACAAUUCCUAAACACUAAAGACUAACACAGUUGAGGGAUUUGCCCUCCCGGACUCCUAAGAAAAGUUUUAAUGGUCUUUGAAACUUUUAAAGUGUCAAAUCAAAAGGAAAAGGAAUAGAGAAAAAGGAUAAAAGUCAGAAUGGGACAGGGCAUGUGGAAGAAUCUCCAGGGAGUUUGGAAGAAAAUAGAACAACAUAUUUCUUUUACUUCCCUUGGAAUAUUUUGGGCCACGUACUUACCUGGAGAACUUUGAAACAGAUUAUUUCACUACAGUGAAUAUGAGGUAGCAAUUUAGUACCUGGUCUAUAACAAGAAUUAUUUAUAACAACACUGAAUAAUGUAUAAGUUUUGACUGUGACAACAGUAAAUGUCUUUGAAUAGCAAUAACGAAGGCGCAUUAUUAUAGAAGAACACCACAGAAGCCUGUGAAAGAAAUUCCAGUCUAAUAGAGUUAUGAAGAAGUAUCAAAUAUAAAUGAGUUAGUCACAUGAACAGGAGAAAGCACUAAGUGGCUUCAAUGAUGGGACAGCUCUGCAAUGUGGGUGGUUUCAUUUUUUCCUGUCUUUAUCUGGUGUUGAAAUGUUGGCUGAUAUACCUUUAAAUUAAGUCAAAUGAAUUUGAGAUUUUUUUCCCUCCUUAUGUUUAAGAUGAACUUAAGGAAUUUGGUAACAACAAAUCGGUCUAUAAAACUCUAACAUCAUUUUCAGUCUUGUUGCUUAGAUUUAUUUUUUUACUUCAUAUUUUCCACAGUAAUUUAUUCUCCUUGGGAAGCAGUUAUUUUACCCAGAUUUUACAUUGGAAAAAUAUGUACUUAUAAUUCAUGUAAUUCAGAAUUAGAAGCUAAUUAAUAUUUUAAUAUUUAUAAUAAUAUGUUAAUAUUUUAAAGAUGAUUUUAAUGUGGUUUAAUUCUUUAACAUUAAUAAUUAAUGAUACUUUUAAUAUUAAAAGUCAUUAUAAUAUUCUGUUAAAUGCUUCAAAACAGAAGAUAGAUUUCCAGAUUAUUUCCAGAACUACCAGAAUGGAUGUAGCUUUCUUAGACAUCUAUAUUCUCAGAACUAUUAGGUCAGUGCAAAAGUAAUUGCGGUAAUUAAAAGUAACAGCAAAAACCGCAAUUACUUUUGCACCAGCCAAAUCGGUAUUAUUGGUUCUUCAUUGUCUCUGUAGAUUUCUGAGUUUGAAACAAGAAUAGAUUAUUGGCUUUCCAACCUAUUUUUUGCAUUUACAACUAGCGUUUACCCCUGAUUUCUACUCUUUACUUCCUCCAAAUUAUUUGAGUACAAUUUAGAAACACUUCCUACUUCUUUUACCUCUAUCAAUGCCUCGUCUCUAUAUUUUUUUCUGAAAGAAAAAGACUACGAAAAACUUCAGAGCUGGUGUCAUUCUAUAACAAAGGAAGUGAAAAGCUAACCAAGCCAAUUCCAGUGGAAAAAAAGUCAAUAUCUGCAUGGUAUGUGUCAGAUUUGUGGGAUAAAAGUUGAUACUAUGUUAGACAUUUAACACAUUUGCUUAAUGAUGAUUUCUUUUAUCUCUCAUGCUGAUGGAGGGUUGAUACAAUGUCAUUAGAAGUUAAUUUUUAAAAAUUAAAUAGUGGAUGCCCUAUGUUAGGUCAUACAUAUAUUUGAAUUAGAAGCUUCGAUACCAAACUAAUCACCUCCCAAAUGCAACUGUGCUGCAUGCUUUCAUUUCACACC